rnacentral:rRNA from 1 species
UGGGGAAUUUUGGACAAUGGGGGCAACCCGUGAUCCAGCAAUGCCGCGUGUGUGAAGAAGGCCUUCGGGUUGUAAAGCACUUUUGUCCGGAAAGAAAACGCCGUGGUUAAUACCCGUGGCGGAUGACGGUACCGGAAGAAUAAGCACCGGCUAACUACGUGCCAGCAGCCGCGGUAAUACGUAGGGUGCAAGCGUUAAUCGGAAUUACUGGGCGUAAAGCGUGCGCAGGCGGUCCGCUAAGACAGAUGUGAAAUCCCCGGGCUUAACCUGGGAACUGCAUUUGUGACUGGCGGGCUAGAGUAUGGCAGAGGGGGGUAGAAUUCCACGUGUAGCAGUGAAAUGCGUAGAGAUGUGGAGGAAUACCGAUGGCGAAGGCAGCCCCCUGGGCCAAUACUGACGCUCAUGCACGAAAGCGUGGGGGAGCAAA